AUUGAACGCUGGCGGCACGCCUAACACAUGCAAGUCGAGCGGCAGCGAGACUAGUAGCAAUACUAGUUGUCGGCGAGCGGCGGACGGGUGAGUAACACGUAGGAAUCCGCCCUUAAGCGGGGGAUAACCAAGGGAAACUUUGGCUAAUACCGCAUAAUCUCGAGAGAGCAAAGCUGCCCGCAAGGGUGGCACUUGAGGAGGAGCCUGCGUCCGAUCAGCUAGUUGGUGGGGUAAUGGCCUACCAAGGCGACGAUCCGUAACUGGUCUGAGAGGAUGAUCAGUCACACCGGAACUGAGACACGGUCCGGACUCCUACGGGAGGCAGCAGUGGGGAAUAUUGGACAAUGGGGGCAACCCUGAUCCAGCCAUGCCGCGUGGGUGAAGAAGGCCCUAGGGUUGUAAACCCCUUUCAGCGGGGAAGAUAAUGACGGUACCCGCAGAAGAAGCCCCGGCUAACUCCGUGCCAGCCGCCGCCGUAAGAC
rnacentral:rRNA from 1 species